ACUAUUUGGUUUGAACCCAGACAAAUUAAAUAUUAUGUUCCAAAACACAAAAUAGUAACAAAAAGAAAAACAUAAAAACCAACUAGAAUGAGUGAUUUAAAUUAAAACAAACUACUUAUUUGUGGAGAAACUAUUGCUGUGAUUUGAACCUGUGAAUAAAAAUAAAUAUCAUAUUCACAAACAAAAAGAAGAAUCACAGAGUCAUCAAUCGAUUAUGUGAAACACAACUAUCCUUGUGAGGAAGCGCUUAAAAAUAAGAAACCGUAGUGAUAAGCUUUAAACUCCGUCCUUCAAUAUUGUCCUUCGCUAAUUUGCACGUACAAGUGAUUCCUAAUAUUUCACCAUCUCUUACAAAGCAAAUUGGUGUAAAAGCUCUUAUUUGAAAACGGUCAAGAAUUUAGUCCAAGAAGCCUUCACACCAUACUCCGUCAUUAUCAUAAUCUCAAGUACCGUAUUUCUUGUAUAAGACAAACAGAGACAUCCUCCAAUGGUACCAAAAAUAUAAUUCUUAACACACAUGUAUUCAGGACCCAAAUUAUCUGGAAAGGAAAGCUCUACAAUUUUCUCAUUUGCCAAAUCAACGGCCAAAAUCAAGCCUCUAAAGUCACGAAAAGUAGGGUUUGCAAGCCAGUGAAGAGCCCUAUUCAAAAAAAAUCCCCGUCCUAUGAGUUUCCAAAUCAUUAUCCAUGACCAAUGUUUCUGUUUCAUCGUCCAUAUCUAGUGCUCCACACGCCCUAACCAGCAACCUCGAUGAUCCUCCUGAGUAUAUUUUAGUGAAUCUUGGUUCGUAGAUCAUUGAUUCCCAUGAUUUGCAAAUGGUCUUGAAUCGCAGCAAGGACUUACGGGUAGUUUUGUGAGUAUCUCCUCCGCAAUCAAACUUUCCGAACACAGUCAGAAGAUAAGCUCACAUUACCUCAAGAACCAAAGUCGUUACCAUCACAAUGCAAAUAUCUCCAUCAAUGUUUACUUUAUGGCGCCUAACAUGCUCAAGCAGCUGCUGUAUGCACUCAGCAGGAUUAACUUCAUUUGGGGAUCUCCAGGAGUUGUAACAGUUCUCAACUUCCUGUUAAAGCAGCAAACUAUUUUUAUACAGCUCCAUACAGGCCUGUGCUAUAGUGCAUGCAGACUACAACGAAAUAACAGAAUGUCUGACACAGGGGUGCCAAAUCGAAAGGAACAAA